AUUGAACGCUGGCGGCAUGCCUUACACAUGCAAGUCGAACGGCAGCACGGGGCAACCUGGUGGCGAGUGGCGAACGGGUGAGUAAUGCAUCGGAACGUACCUUUCAGUGGGGGAUAACGUAGCGAAAGUUACGCUAAUACCGCAUAUUCUGUGAGCAGGAAAGCAGGGGAUCGCAAGACCUUGCGCUGAUUGAGCGGCCGAUGUCAGAUUAGCUAGUUGGUGAGGUAAAGGCUAACCAAGGCGACGAUCUGUAGCGGGUCUGAGAGGAUGAUCCGCCACACUGGAACUGAGACACGGUCCAGCCUCCUACGGGAGGCAGCAGUGGGGAAUUUUGGACAAUGGGGGCAACCCUGAUCCAGCCAUGCCGCGUGAGUGAAGAAGGCCUUCGGGUUGUAAAGCUCUUUCGGCCGGGAAGAAAUCGCACGGGCUAAUACCCUGUGUGGAUGACGGUACCGGAAUAAGAAGCACCGACUAACUACGUGCCAGCAGCCGCGGUAA
rnacentral:rRNA from 1 species